UCCGGAAAACCUAGGUGUAAGCAACAACCUCUUCGACUUCGUUUCCCUUUUCUUGUCUUUUCUUUUCCUACUAUUCAGUAUCUCCCUCUGAGGAUCUUACUGGAACAACAUCAAUUUUGAACAAAAUCGAUUAAAUCAAACACUCUACAUCGAUCAACAACCUCAUUAAGGUUGUUUUUCAAUUCCUUCUGCUCUCUUUCUUCUUCGUAAAGAUUACAAAUCGAUUAGAACAGUCGAAUUUCUCUCAAAUCCGAACUCCAUUCGUCACAACCAAGAUCAAUUUGGUCAAUUUGAUUAGUAAGAUUUAUUUAUCUAAUUCUGAAUUUAUUUUUCGAUUGAAGAAAUUUGGGGUUAGACAAAGAAAAUUAACUCGUAUUAGGUUAGGGUGAUACACGAUGACCAGAGAUAGAAAUGAUUAGGUACCAAAUCCAGUUGGUCCAACACGAUUGGAAAUUCUUUCCACUUUUUGGUGAAGAAGUUUAUAAGCUCCGAGACUGAAUAUGGUAUGCCAUGUUGUUGCUGCUUUUGAGGAGCCUUCGAUUAUGGAUGUUGGUACUCGACUUGAUUGGCAAAAUUCGUCGGGAGUGGAAAUUACAAGUGUCUUCGUCUCAACGACCUGUUUCCCUUUCCUUGCGCCAUCAUUGCACAAUCCUCCCUACGUUGUUCCAACUAUCACUCGCAAUGCUCUUCAAAACUUCGCAGAAGACAAACUAGACGCAGUAUACUUUGGCCCAAAGAGAUUUCAUCCGCAACAGGUACCGUGGUGGCUUUUUUGGUUACACUUAGUGAAGAUGGAUUAACAAUUUAUGGGUUUACUUUAUUGGUUCUAUGAACCUUAUUGAUCUAAAGGUUGUUUUUUAGCAUCUUAAUUUUGACAUUGGCUUUUCUGUUUUUUUCUGCAUAAUAUUUUGACACAAGAGAGAGAGAGUUUCGUUCCUAUAAGAUUUCUCAAUUUUUUUGAUACAACUUUGUUUAAGUCUAAUAAAAUUUCCCUAUACUAUCCACC